AUUGAACGCUGGCGGCAUGCCUUACACAUGCAAGUCGAACGGUAACAGGUUAAGCUGACGAGUGGCGAACGGGUGAGUAAUGUAUCGGAACGUGCCCAGUCGUGGGGGAUAACUGCUCGAAAGAGCAGCUAAUACCGCAUACGACCUGAGGGUGAAAGCGGGGGAUCGCAAGACCUCGCGCGAUUGGAGCGGCCGAUAUCAGAUUAGGUAGUUGGUGAGGUAAAGGCUCACCAAGCCGACGAUCUGUAGCUGGUCUGAGAGGACGACCAGCCACACUGGGACUGGGACACGGCCCAGACUCCUACGGGAGGCAGCAGUGGGGAAUUUUGGACAAUGGGCGCAAGCCUGAUCCAGCCAUGCCGCGUGCGGGAAGAAGGCCUUCGGGUUGUAAACCGCUUUUGUCAGGGAAGAAAAGGUUCUGGCUAAUACCUGGGACUCAUGACGGUACCUGAAGAAUAAGCACCGGCUAACUACGUG
rnacentral:rRNA from 1 species